AAAUUUUACAGCUCAGGGGCAGCAGAGGCAGAAUUGAGCAUAUCUUAAAUGGUGACUCAGCUGCUUGUGUGUUUUGCUGUCAGCACAGGAUUAAGCCUCCACCCUUUACCUCUCUGUAUAUUGGUCCUGUGUGGAGUGGGGAAGUGAAGCCACGUGCCUACACUCAUGUAACUGCUGGUACUUCGAGGUCCCUCCUCAUCUUAAUUUCUUUGAACCCAGCUAGUGCAUUCACUUUGUCCCAUUUGCUUAAGAGCCAAGCUGAGGAGCCUUCGCUUCCCCCUUAGUUCAGUUCACCGUGGGUUGUAGUGGCUCACGUCUUCAUGUCUGUGUUAGCGUUCCCCUAGCCGCACCUGGUGUUUGGCUAGGUUCUUCGCGCGGUGAUUCCCUGCGUUUGAUGACCACGCCAUCCAGUUCUCUGCCUCAUCGUGGCCAACACAACUCGAGCUGGUGAAUGUCAUCUGGAGCAGCCUCACUAUCGCGAUCUGAUUCCCGAGUCAGCUCCGCUUACGUUUGGGUGUUUGGUGGUGAAGAAAUGAAAGUCUUGGGAGCUGCAUAGAAAAAGAACACCUAGAAGAAGUGGUGUUUGAAGAAGAAGCCUGCCCCAAGUACUGUUGAUCCAGUGGUGGAGUCUCAUCUAACUGUAGAAAGGUUUUGGAUCUUCUCCUGCGAUAAGGCAAGCCCCGGUGUAUUUGCCACCUCCCUUGUGUUUACAAAAUUUUAUCACUUAUAUGCUGCAUUAGGUGACAGGAGUUGAUUGAUUAAACACUUGAUGCAUUACCAUCCUUGAAAGGUUGAUUACCACACCUUGUCACCCGUUUUAUAAAAGCUAGAGAUGCUUAGUCUUGUUGAUAGAUUAAGAAAAAUAUUUUUGAUCUAUGACUCAUGUUUUUACAAAAAAGAAAAUGGGCUUGGGAUAAUGAAGGCAUCAAGACGUUGAUAAAUUCAUUAUCCAGGCAUGGCCCCUCUGUCAG